GUUCAGUCAAGUACACGUAUCAAGGACCGCCGUCGCACAGUACAUAUACAUAUACCCUGCACGCAACUCAGUGCGAUAUUUUGUCUCACGGUCACUAUACGCUUUGAGCUAGAGUAGUGCAUGCAGACAUUUUCAAAGCAGCGACGACAGCGAGCAGGGUACACUGCAGGGCGCGUGCGCCGGUCUAGGAAAAUAUGGCCGAGUACCUUAAACCACGCAAGAACUGUGCCAUUUUAGUCUUGACCUUUCUCUCUGUUGGUGUUGGUGUCUAUCUCCUGCAUGUAAAAUCCAACAGAGUUUCAACUACAGCCACAGACAAUUUCCCGCCUGUUCAGAAAUUGCGGCUUGUAGGAGCAUCUUCGGCAGGCACGCAGAAGGACGUUGCUGGGACGAUGGGUCGGAGCGGACCUCUCGGUCAGAGCGACCGGGACCAGGCCUUAGAAUGCGAGUUUGUCAUCGCCCAUUAUAACGAGGGACUGGAUUGGUUGAGGCCAUUUGCCAACCGCAGUCACGUGUACCACAAGGGGAAGGAAAAAGCCCCGCCCUUUGAAGUGUUCAAGUGGGAGAGGCUACCGAACGUGGGACGAGAAGGCCACACCUAUCUGUACCACAUCAUACAGAAUUACGACAAUCUUUCAAAUUUGACCAUUUUUCUCCAAGGGCAAGGACCCUUCAUUGACAAAUCCUGGUGUUUCCGUCAACCCACGGAUUACGUCACCAACGCCAAGAAGGGUGUCUUCUGCUGGGUUAGGGGCAAGUUCGGGGGCUGGGGUCGCAUUAAACACCUCGGAAAAUGGGUGACAUUGCUGAAGACCGGCGCGAUGCGAAGGGCCAAAGGCACCAUGGGUGACUUUUAUACCGCCGUGUUUGGUACCCCGCCCCCAGCCUCCGUACCCAGGUGUUUAGCGGGCUGCUUCUCGGCGACCAGGGCGAAUCUCAGGCGGCACCCGAUCAGUGUGUACCGACGAGCCAUCUCGUUUUUGGACGAUCACCUGAACCCGGAAGAGGGGCACUACAUGGAGAGACUCUGGUCGUCUAUCAUCAACGCCCAACCUCCGACCUGAGUCCUUGAUUUUCAAUACUCUCGGAAAAUGGACACGUUGAACACUUCUUCACUUCUUCACACUUUAUCUCUCAUCUUCAUAGUGGUGAACUCAUACAUCUGUAUUCCAACCAGCCCCAGUGAUCCGCCUCACCAACUCUGAAUUCAGGAGUAACACCUCUACCAACACGUCAAGCAACAGUCGCGAGAAAGAAAGUGCGAGCUCUACCGCCGCGCCUCCCCGUAUUGUAACCGUGGGCCCGCCCAGUCAGCCGUUGGACUACGAGUUUGUCAUCUCUCACUACAACGAGAAACUUGAUUGGGUGAAACCGCUUGCCAGUCACAGUCACGUGUAUCACAAGGGGAAGGACAAAGGACCGCCCUUCGAUGUCUACAAGUGGGAGAAGCUACCCAAUGUGGGACGUGAAAGCCACACCUAUCUCCACCACAUCAUACACAACUAUGACAAUCUUGCGGAUUUGACCGUUUUCCUGCAGGGCACAGGACCUUUCAAAGAUCCACACUGGUGUUUCCCAACGCCGAUGGACUUCGUCCAACACGCCAAGAAAAAGGAGUACUGUAAAAUCACGCAGACGUACGGCGGAUGGACGCGACUUCGCCACGUCAGCAAAUGGUUAAAGAUGCUGCAGCGAGGGGAGAUGCGGAGGGCGAACCUUACCACGGGCGAGUUUUAUCAGGCCGUGUUUGGUACCCCACACCCCGACACCGUGCCCGUAUGCCUAACGGCCUGCUUCUCAGCUUCGAGGGAGAAUCUGAGACGGUUCCCUGUGAGUUUGUAUGAGAGAGCCAUCUCAUUCGUGAAUGAUCAUUCAAACCCUGAGGAAGGUCAUUAUCUUGAGCGACUUUGGGCCACCAUCGCCAAUGCCAAAAGGAAUCCAUGACUGGUCAGCUUAUUUUAUUUCCUCGUCUUCACUGAUCCGUAGAGACAUGUGCAACGCAUAGUACUUAUUAAACAAUCCCUUUAUAGAGGGUUUGCAUGGCAGCCAUCUUGCGGGGUAGUUCUUUUGAUCCACAGGGAAACCUCAUUGGCAGCCAUGAAAAUGUGCGUUCUCCUUCACUCAAGUGACGGGGCACCUCAGGUAACCAAAGAUAAUUCGUUUAUUGCUACAGAUUGUGCAUGACCGCCCAAACGCGUGACGACACCCCUUGUGAGCUCGAGUGAAGAAAUCGAACACGCUGGACCAAGCUCAACUCAAUCAAAAAUUGCAGAUGUUAUACGCAACACGAACCUCUAAAGUUUGUGAAUAAGCAUCUCCUCGAAAGGACCCUCCUGAAAAUCUACGCAAUCAAUGUGAACAGGUUUGGUUUUAUAUAUACUCCAAAAAAUUAGGAAAUUCGGUAUGGAAAUAACAGUUUAUAAUAAUACCGUAAAAUACAAAAUAAUAUGAAAUGUGCAUUUUGUUUAACCACAAUGACGAAUAACUCCAUUUCAAACUUCCCCGCGCUUGUGUGCGACUUCAAGCCCCUUGUUCGUCGACUAAUAUACCAAGAAGUCCUGUAUGGCAAGCCUAACACGUUCUCCGCCAUGGACAUUUGCUGCGUUCUGUUUGUAGGAGCGUUCCUAGCAGACACGGCACAUGUCGCCUGCCAUGCGUUUGCGACAUCAACUUUGGUAUAAACAUCAACGAACCGAUGAGUACACUUUAUAUUCCGAUCGGGAGUUUUUGCGGCCAUUUAGGUACAUUCAACUCAAGGAACAGGUUGGCACGAUGUUGCAGCCAAGUGUUGUUUACUUUCUUAAUUAUCGUAAACAGACGGUUCUCAGAAAGCACCGUCUCUAGGUCUUUUCGGUCUCACAAAGUGACAAAAACUUCCCCAGUACCAGGGCAAAAUAGAGACCAACCACAGCUGGUCGAGUCAAGAUGUGUGUGUUGCGCAUGGGUGCGAACGAUAUCGAACACGAGCACCUGGGCUCACGUUUAAUGUACAAUGUAUCGAUUUUUUCGUGCGCGUUUAAUCUCACCAAGUGACACAACUGUGCAAUGCAGUAGGGGAAAACGUUAGCAAAACCUCCAGGUAUAUAUUACAGACUAACGAAGUGUAAACAAAAAACUUUUUUAAUGAAUUACUGUUUAAUUAAAACAGGAAAUCUACAAAUUAAUCUGGAUUAGCGUUUUCAAACUUUUCCCUGCAUGACUGUGCCCAAACUCCCCAAUUCGUAAAAUAAAAGUGGUGGAAAAUGUCGGAUGAAAUAGGUCAUAUUUUGAAAAAGCCUUUUUCUUGGAUGGCUGUGUUGCACGAUGGGGGGGGGGUCACUUUGUGAGAUCAUUGACGAUAAGUGGCCAUAAAUGGGGCGUGUUAUACAUGGCGAAUACGGGCGAUUCACAACAGUGCACCUCCUGGAUUUUGCAACGCGUUGGCCAAUCCCAACGCGCAACAUUUGUCGCCUUGAUUCGUCAGAUUUCGUGCAUUGUGAUUGGCCAACGCGUUACAGUCUCUAGGAGGCGCACUAUUGUGAAACGCCCGUAUUCGUGGUAGUUUGGAAGGCUACUUUUAGCUAACAGAUUAUUUUUAUCAUACCAAAAUAACCGUGUAUGCUUGUUGCGUGAGAACAAACCGUUGGCAGGUACAAUUACAUGUGUCUGAAAAAUAAACUCGAUCAAGCUGGAGUUAAAUCCAUCUGUUCGUGGUCAUGUUUCAGGCAAGUUUUGAGAAAAAAGGCACAUGCUUCUCCAAUAUUUUAUGCAUAGAUAGUGGCAUUUACUCUACUGUAGAUCAACUGGCGUCCCAUCCAUCAAGAGUCAAAAGUAGUACCAUUUCAGCUGAAUCUGUUCCCCAAUCAAGGUGGGCUUUCACUAAUUAAUGAAAAAUCCAUUGUAGCAUAUCAUACGCUGUAUUUGGAAACUUAUUAAUGAAAUAUUCCCGUGUUCUUUUUACAUGGUUUUGGGAAUAAACAAGUAUUUAUUUUGCAAAUGA